rnacentral:rRNA from 1 species
ACGAUGAAGAGUUUGAUCCUGGCUCAGGAUGAACGCUAGCGGCAGGCUUAACACAUGCAAGUCGAACGGUAACAUAGAAAAGCUUGCUUUUCUGAUGACGAGUGGCGCACGGGUGAGUAACGCGUAUACAAUUUACCUAUCACAGGGGUAUAGCUCGAAGAAAUUUGAAUUAAUCCCCCAUGGUAUAUAUGAUUGGCAUCAAUUAUAUAUUAAAGUUUCGGCGGUGAUAGAUGAGUAUGCGUCCUAUUAGUUAGUUGGUAAGGUAACGGCUUACCAAGGCGACGAUAGGUAGGGGUCCUGAGAGGGAGAUCCCCCACACUGGUACUGAGACACGGACCAGACUCCUACGGGAGGCAGCAGUGAGGAAUAUUGGACAAUGGAGGCAACUCUGAUCCAGCCAUGCCGCGUGCAGGAAGACUGCCCUAUGGGUUGUAAACUGCUUUUAUACAGGAAGAAUAAUGAGUACGUGUACUCAGAUGACGGUACUGUAAGAAUAAGCAUCGGCUAACUCCGUGCCAGCAGCCGCGGUAAUACGGAGGAUGCAAGCGUUAUCCGGAAUCAUU